UUCACACCGAAGAAAAGCCAUUUCUGCAACUAUUGGCUGUGGUCAAAAAUGCCAACGUCUUUGGCAUUUCAGAUUUAUCUUCUUAAAGAGACAAGAAAACUAUGUUCCACAUGGAUUCUCCAUCCUCGGAUCGCUGGCUGGGUACUUUCUCCAUGCAGAACUGGAGACCAAGGUCCCACACUGAAAACACCAAGUUGCUACCACUUCAAGACUGCUACUGUACCAGGGAGGUGGUGUGA